rnacentral:tRNA from 1 species
AAAAAGGAAGCAUGGUGGUUAUGUAAUUAGCUUGAAACUAGUUGAUGUGGGUUCAAUUCCUACCCUUUUUG